rnacentral:rRNA from 1 species
AAGCGGAGGAAAAGAAACCAACAGGGAUUGCCCUAGUAACGGCGAGUGAAGCGGCAACAGCUCAAAUUUGAAAUCUGGCUCCUUUGGGGUCCGAGUUGUAAUUUGUAGAGGGUGCUUUGGCGUUGGUUGUGGUCUAAGUUCCUUGGAACAGGACGUCACAGAGGGUGAGAAUCCCGUACGUGGCCGCCAGCCUUCGCCGUGUAAAGCCCCUUCGAUGAGUCGAGUUGUUUGGGAAUGCAGCUCUAAAUGGGAGGUAAAUUUCUUCUAAAGCUAAAUAUUUGCCAGAGACCGAUAGCGCACAAGUAGAGUGAUCGAAAGAUGAAAAGCACUUUGGAAAGAGAGUCAAAAAGCACGUGAAAUUGUUGAAAGGGAAGCGCUUGCAGCUAGACGUGCCUUGGGUUGAUCAGCCGGACUUUUGCCCGGUGCACUCUUCCUUUGGCAGGCCAGCAUCAGUUUGGGCGGCUGGAUAAAGGUCUGUUAAACGUGACUUCCUUCGGGGAGAGCUUAUAGGGCAGACGACAUGCAGCCAGCCUGAACUGAGGUCCGCGCAUCUGCUAGGAUGCUGGCAUAAUAGCUGUAAGCGGCCCGUCUUGAAACACGGACCAAGGAGUCUAACAUCUAUGCGAGUGUUUGGGUGUCAAGCCCGAGCGCGUAAUGAAAGUAAACGGAGGUGGGAACCUUUUAGGCGCACCAUCGACCGAUCUUGAUGUCUUCGGAUGGAUUUGAGUAAGAGCAUAGCUGUUGGGACCCGAAAGAUGGUGAACUAUGCCUGAAUAGGGUGAAGCCAGAGGAAACUCUGGUGGAGGCUCGCAGCGGUUCUGACGUGCAAAUCGAUCGUCAAAUUUGGGCAUAGGGGCGAAAGACUAAUCGAACUAUCUAGUAGCUGGUUCCUGCCGA